AUUUGACUCUGUAAUUUUUCAAAACCCCAUAAAACCUGUAUAUGGGUGGUACUCUUGUACUGGAGAGACAUGACUGGACACACCACAUUUUGAAUAUCCUGGUUUCUCUAUGUCUGCAUAUGUCUCUACAGUAUGUCAUGAUGGGGAUAGUUUUCAUUCCGGGCUGCCAUAUUGUCUCAAAGACAACAUAGGCCCAGCAAACAAAUCUGGCAAUUUUAACGUGUAAAAACUGAAACAAGCAAACUUUCUAUUUGACCAUGUAACUUUCCAAAACACCAUAAAACCUGCAUGUUGGGGGGCAUUGUUGUACACUUGGGACAUCACAGCAUACAAAUAUGUGUGUUUUAUUAUGAUUCACAGUAAAAAUGCCAUGCAGAGUUUGGAAAAUAAAAUUUCUUAAUUUCUCACACUUCUUUAGAUUUUAUUCAUAUCGAAUUUUGUGUUCCAUAUAUAAAUAUUUGAUUUGAAAUGAUUUCUCCUGAACAAAAUGAUAUAUAAUAAAUGUGGAUGUGCUUAAUAUGAAAGAGGUAAAUCAUGGUUGAACAGACAUAUAGCUCAAAUUCCAGAUUUGUUUUGGUCAAAACUUGUACAUUUGCCUCUGUUCUUAAAGGGUUACAAAAAUCAAACAAACUGUAUAUUGCAAAAAUAGUUUCACAC